rnacentral:piRNA from 1 species
UUUAAAGGUCACUCAGCAUCAUUUUUGGGC